ensembl:snRNA U6 U6 spliceosomal RNA
GUGCUCACUUCGGCAGCACAUAUACUAAAAUUUAAAGGAUACAGAGAAGAUUAGCACGGCCCCUGUGCCAGGAUGACACGUGAAUUUGUGAAGCAUUCCACAUUUUU